UACGUAGGGUGCAAGCGUGUCCGGAAUUAUUGGGCGUAAAGAGCUCGUAGGCGGUUUGUUGCGUCGGCUGUGAAAUCCCGAGGCUCAACCUCGGGUCUGCAGUCGAUACGAGCAAACUAGAGUGUUGCAGGGGAGACUGGAAUUCCUGGUGUAGCGGUGAAAUGCGCAGAUAUCAGGAGGGAACACCGGUGGGCGAAGGCGG
rnacentral:rRNA from 1 species